CAAGUGUCAUGAUUUCUGGUGGAAUUUCAGGCACCCUGGUGAAAAAAAAUGACACAUUUUCAUGACUUAUGUAGCUUUUUGUAUCAUAAACUUUAUUUUAUGCGAAGAAGGGGGGCAUUUUUUUUUUUUGCCAAGCUCCCUGUAGUCAUCAGGAUAGCCCCUGUAUUACACAGUCCCUGUACUACAUAGAACCUACCCUCUUCCGUUCAUUUAUGUAAAAAAUAUUCAUUGAGUAUCUUCUCUGUGUCUUGUUCUGUAGGAGCUAGAAACAUAAAUUAAACAGACCCUGCCCUCAAGGGACUUCAAGUCUAAUAGGAGAGGUGGACAAAUGCCUAUCGUUUAUACUCAUGGAAAGCCAGGAAAAAAAGGAAGAAGAAGAAGAAGAGAAAGAAGAUAUGGAUUCAGUUUCAUUCUUUUGUUGGGAGGAGUGAGUCAGGCUGAUGGUAGCAGUGGCCUCCAAAAAGCUGCUGUUACUGCAAAAAUACCAGAAACUAACAACUUGAAGGAUUUAAUUGGAGAUGAAGGAAACUGUAUUGAGAAAUAACGUCUCUCCAUGUAAGAAGCAAAGAAAAGACAUGUUUCUCUUUUCUCUGUAUUAUUAGAACUUGUCUGCCCUCCUCAGCACAUCAGCCCUAAUGAUGCUGAAGUCCAUGAAAGAUAAUUGCCUUGAGUCAUUCUCUAGCCACAGAGAAGGUAAGAUUAAUAAAGAACAUUUGUUAUAAUUUUGCA
rnacentral:lncRNA from 1 species